AGCGAUAGCUCAGUUGGUUAGAGCAAAAGACUGAAAAUCUUUGUGUCGGUGGUUCGAAUGUUGUCCAUACGUCA
rnacentral:tRNA from 1 species